CUGUCUCAGCCUCUGCCUCCCGCUCAGCACAAGAACCCAUGCGUACUGAGGCUCCUGACCCUGGCGGCACUAGGGUCACCCCAAGGAGAGAGAGUUCCAGCCCCCCACCCACCCCGGACACUUACUACACCAGCACCAUUUUGUUCAGAGCCCCAGAAACAGAGUGCCUUGGGGGCUUGACAAAAGAUCUAAAACAAUAAACCCAUCUCCCUAUUCUGCGACUGUCUGUCCCCUUUCUGAAAUGUCAGGAAUGGCUCAUUUUGUGCAGGUGAGCGGGGCUGCCCGGCUGCGCGCCGGACCCCAGGCCCAGGGAGCCCCUUGCUGCCUCCGCGCACCCAUGCGUUUGUGCGUUUGCACCGAGGGCCAAGAGGAGCCGGAAACACCACCGUCCGGCUGCAAAGCUCUGGGACCUCCUCCAGGGAGGAAGGCUGGCUCACGGCUUGGCCGGGCUCCCAAGCAUCAUGUACAGCAAGGCUGAGUAACAACUUAGCUUGGGGUUGGUCCUCGAAUGACCUUCCUUUUCUUGUCUGCCCAUCUGAAAGGACCAUUCCGCUCCAAACAACAUUCCUCCGAUAAAAUCGGUUACACACUGUAAACGUCAAUGAGCCAGGAACAUUCUCCGACGCAACAGGAUUCUGAUAAAGCGGCCUUAUUCUGCAAAACCUUCCAGCGUGAACAAUCCUCCCUGGAGCAGGCAGGGAAAUUCCUAGGAUGCCAGGACACCGGGCGGGCCCGAGGGGGAGGGCGCGAAACUCAGGUGAACUUCCCACCGUGGGCCGAGGGCCGAGCGAGGGCCGAGGGGCCUGGCCUUUCAGCCAUCGUCGUUUCAUUCGGUCAAGAAGUCGACGCCUAUUUGAUGAGCGCGUCCCAAGUGCUGGGCCCCGAUCCAGAGUCCCUGGGGAGGCGACACCUUCGUGGGAUCACAGAGCUCCCGGACUUUGAACAAGCGGCCCCGAUGCACAGUCCGGUGGCGGCUGGCGAGCAAGUCUUGGUUUCUCAUGAGCAAGUGGAAAUAUAUGGCCCGUGA
rnacentral:lncRNA from 12 species